GGUGGCUCAGUGGUAGAGCCCUUGCCUUGCAAGCAAGCCUGAGGCCCUGGGUUCGAUUCCUCAGCACCA
rnacentral:tRNA from 1 species